AUUGAACGCUGGCGGCAGGCUUAACACAUGCAAGUCGAGCGGGGGAAGGUAGCUUGCUACCGGACCUAGCGGCGGACGGGUGAGUAAUGCUUAGGAAUCUGCCUAUUAGUGGGGGACAACAUCUCGAAAGGGAUGCUAAUACCGCAUACGUCCUACGGGAGAAAGCAGGGGAUCUUCGGACCUUGCGCUAAUAGAUGAGCCUAAGUCGGAUUAGAUAGUUGGUGGGGUAAAGGCCUACCAAGGCGACGAUCUGUAGCGGGUCUGAGAGGAUGAGCCGCCACACUGGCACUGAGACACGGCCCAGACUCCUACGGGAGGCAGCAGUGGGGAAUAUUGGACAAUGGGGGGAACCCUGAUCCAGCCAUGCCGCGUGUGUGAAGAAGGCCUUAUGGUUGUAAAGCACUUUAAGCGAGGAGGAUGCUACUCUAGUUAAUACCUAGGGAUAGUGGACGUUACUCGCAGAAUAAGCACCGGCUAACUCUGUGCCAGCAGCCGCCGUAA
rnacentral:rRNA from 1 species